AGGACGAACGCUGGCGGCGUGCUUAACACAUGCAAGUCGAGCGGCAAGGCCCUUUCGGGGGUACACGAGCGGCGAACGGGUGAGUAACACGUGGGUGACCUGCCCUCAGCUCUGGGAUAAGCCUGGGAAACCGGGUCUAAUACUGGAUAUGACUCCAUGACGCAUGUUGUGGGGUGGAAAGCCUUGUGCGGCUGAGGAUGGGCCCGCGGCCUAUCAGCUUGUUGGUGGGGNGAUGGCCUACCAAGGCGACGACGGGUAGCCGGCCUGAGAGGGCGACCGGCCACACUGGGACUGAGACACGGCCC
rnacentral:rRNA from 1 species